AUUCUAGGAAGUCUUGGGCAUUAAAUUAUCAACAUUGUGACUAAGACUCUCUUUCCUAAAAUAGUACCUGUUCCUAGAGAAUAUAUUCUUCCUCGAAACAGAUUAUGGGAUUGUUCUUGAGGGCUGGCCAUUGGGAUAAUCACACAUAUAACACUGGUUUAUGAUAAGACUUGGGGUAAUUCAUUGAUAAUGUUCUCUUGCGAUCUGCUUCCUUAAGCUUCUCUCCCCAUCCGUUCGCACCAACUCAUCAGACAAAACGAUUCCUGUUUGGAUUUGCUCUCCUGUUAAUUUUUUACUCUUUUUUAAAUAAUAUUGUAUGACAUUUGGAACAUAUUGAAGUCUGUAAUAGGUAGUACGUUAGUGUAGAGGGAUAUUCUACUUUUCGUGUGCAGAGUUGGCUUUUAGUGCUUAUGGGGACUUCAAGCCUUAAAACAUCAGGAUCACAACUUGGUAUUGCUGACCAGUUCUCCGAUGCUGUGAGGGUGAAAAAAGAAUGCUCUCAGCACUUCGUUGAGUGUGACAUGAUUACAAAUGAUGGCUCACAAAGUCCAGAAUGUAUAUAAGCAUGCCCUCAGCCUUGUCCCUGCAAAUGUGUGUGAUAGCUUCUACUUAAACUCUCUAAGUCUAAUGGAGUCUUACCUUAAGGCACAUGGUGGUUUUUUGAUUACCAUGAUGACACGAAAGGGAUAUUUUCUUUUGUUAUCCCAGUGUGUGACAAUGUGUAUACAAGUUUUAAGAUGAUACAAACAAAUAUUUGCUGUGGAUAGCUAACCUCUGGCUAAUUAGCAGACCGAUCUUAAGAGUUACUCAGCAUAGUCUAACACUGAAUCUUGCAAAGAAUAGACAAUUUACCUGCCCUGUAAUUUGUUUGACAGAAUCGUUUCUACACUCAAAAUAUAAAUAACACUGGAUAUUUAAUAGUCCUACUUUAGUAACUAAGAUAUUUUUAAAAGGUCUGUUAGCUAAAAGAAAUAUUUCUCUCUCUCUCUCUCUUUUUUAAUCAUUUGUCUUUUUAGGGCUGUACCAGUGGCAAAUGGAGGUUCCCAGGCUGGGGAUCUAAUUGGAGCUGUAGCUACUGGCCUACACCACACAGCAGUGGGAUCUGAGCUGCCUCUGCAACCUACAGCAGAGCUCUGGGUUAAGGAUCCAGCAUUGCUGUGAGCUGUGGUGUAGGUCGCAGAUGCAGCUCGGAUCUGGAGUUGCUGUGGCUGUGAUAUAGUUCCAUCUCGACCCCUAGCCUAGGAGCUUCCUUAUGCAGCACAUGCAGUCCUAAAAAGCAAAAAAAAAAAAAAAAAAAAAAAAAAAAAGAGAGAGAGAGAGAGAGAGAAGAAGAAUGGAUAAUGUAAUCCUAUUCUUUGUAAGAAAAAGAUUUGAAUUUGAUAAGGCCCGAAUUUGGCUUCCUGUGUUUAGAUUGUUAUAACAUUGGAAAUAGGCCUAUAUUUCAGAAACAAACUAUUUGGUUAGAAGGUGAUUUGAAGGCAUCAAUUUAAGGGAUAUUUUGUAGAAAGAAUAGUUAUCUCUGAAAAGGAUAAAAGAACAGCUCUAUUUUUAAUACUAGUUUUAAAACAGAGUAAAGGGAAAAUAUUUUUAAAAGAUACAUCAAUUAUGAAAAGACAGUGGUUCUAAGAGUAACAAGGGAAUCAACGAUAAACACUUUAAUGUUUUUUCAAUUAAUAAAUUAGGCUGACAAUUAAAUGUAUUAUUUAUGUGCUAUAUGUUUCUUUAUGUAUGAGAUCCCAAUAAUAGUUACAUCCCAAGGAUUGGUUGUGCCACAUUGUUUUCUCAGGACCGCCCAUCAUUAUAGCAUGUCAAUCAGUAACCUUUUUUCUGAGUUGAAAUAAAAAUACCAAUCUCCAACCCAAUGAUCAUCAUUGUGGUCCCCUAUAAAAAAUGAGAAGCUUUUAAAUAUUUCUGAAAAUGUGUUGAUGCUGAUACCAGAUAACAUCAGAUCUGCGCUAGAUUUUUUUUUUAUAAUACUUUUUCCUUAUGUAGAUGUGCACUUUGGAAAACUUAGAAAUUGAAAGAGAAAAAAGAAAAUCAUGACGUUCCCUUCAUGGCUCAGUGGUUAAGGAACUCAACUAGUAACCAUGAGGUUGAGGGUUCAAUCCCUGGCUUUGCUCAGUGGGUUAAGGAUCCGCGUUGCAGUGAGCUGUGGUAUAGGUCGCAGACAUGGCUCGGAUCCCACGUUGCUGUGGCUGUGGUGCAGGCCAGCAGCUUUAGCUCCGAUUGGACCCCUAGGCUGGGAACCUCCAUAUGCUGUGGGUGCAGCCCUAAAAAGACAAAAGACAACAACAACAGCAACAAAAAA
rnacentral:lncRNA from 1 species